rnacentral:tRNA from 1 species
GCCUGGGUGGCUCAGUCGGUGGAGUAUUUGACUUCAGCUCAGGUCAUGAUCUCACGAUUUGUGGGUUCGGGCCCCAUAUCGGGCU